rnacentral:rRNA from 1 species
GGAAGUGGGGAUGACGUCAAGUCCUCAUGGUCCUUAUAGGUGGGGCUACACACGUCAUACAAUGGCCGGUACAAAGGGUCGCAAACCCGCGAGGGGGAGCCAAUCCAUCAAAGCCGGUCGUAGUCCGGAUCGCAGUCUGCAACUCGACUGCGUGAAGUCGGAAUCGCUAGUAAUCGUGGAUCAGCAUGUCACGGUGAAUACGUUCCCGGGUCCUU